GAUGAACGCUGGCGGCGUGCCUAAUACAUGCAAGUCGAGCGAACGGACGAGAAGCUUGCUUCUCUGAUGUUAGCGGCGGACGGGUGAGUAACACGUGGAUAACCUACCUAUAAGACUGGGAUAACUUCGGGAAACCGUAGCUAAUACCGGAUAAUAUUUUGAACCGCAUGGUUCAAAAGUGAAAGACUGUCUUGCUGUCACUUAUAGAUUGAUCCGCGCUGCAUUAGCUAGUUGGUAAGGUAACGGCUUACCAAGGCAACGAUGCAUAGCCGACCUGAGAGGGUGAUCGGCCACACUGGAACUGAGACACGGUCCAGACUCCUACGGGAGGCAGCAGUAGGGAAUCUUCCGCAAUGGGCGAAAGCCUGACGGAGCAACGCCGCGUGAGUGAUGAAGGUCUUCGGAUCGUAAAACUCUGUUAUUAGGGAAGAACAUAUGUGUAAGUAACUGUGCACAUCUUGACGGUACCUAAUCAGAAAGCCACGGCUAACUACGUG
rnacentral:rRNA from 1 species